GUAUACAUUUUAUAUAUGUAUAUAGAAAAUGUUUCUUUGUAUAUAAUAUCUUUGUAAAGUUAUCAGAGGCUUUGUUAAUCAUACGUGGGGUUUUUUCUUUUUUUUUUUUUUUUUUUUUUUUAAAAUAUACACAUUUCUGUCAUUUUUUUAUUCUUACCCGGAUGACACUAAUUACCCUUUAAACCCUUGUGUUUUUCAGACCACCGCACAUAGUAUUUUCUAUCCAAUGCACGAGAGAAGUGUUCUCUAGGCGCUUUCAGCUCGAUAUUUUGACCCAGAUUUGUAAGACCAAACACAGUGAGCUGUGCUCGUUCAGAGCAGGGCUUCUCUAUUGCAUAUCUGUGUUUUGAUCUCUUAGGCUUUAAAAACUUGGUUUGGUCUUCGACUGUUGGGUCAGUGGCUUUUUUCACGUCCUACAUGUUCAUUGUUUCAUGACUUUGCCGUCAGUUCUUUUGCAUGUGGGGCUAGAGGCUUCAUCAUCUUGAGCUCUCUGCUUGCUAGCUCAUGGUGGUGGUUGUGGUGGAAUGUGGUCCCAAGCACAGAUGCGCAACCGAGCCCUGCCCUUUGCAGCCUCCGCUCUUCUGCACGUCGGAGGAGAUCUGCGGCUGGGUUACGAAGUCCUUCUUCCGGAUUCUUUGCAUCUUGCUUCAGGUGUCAGUUAUCGGGGACGUUGGGGAGGAAGAGGAAGGUGCGCCUAGAGCGCCGAUUUCGGCGCAGCGUGUCCUCCGACAAGGAGUUCUGGCAUCGCGUGAUGUUUCAAACCCCCUGCUGGAGGGUCAGGCAGGGUUUCGGAAGGGCUGGGUCCAGCUUUGUGUGUUGUGAAGAUGCGGGGUCUCUGUACAGACCUGUCGUGAGGGAGAAGGCUGCGUCAAGGGUUCGAGAGCUUGGGGCGAAAGGCCCUCGGUACACGAUCUCCACUUGCGUUUGGGCUCCUCUGUUCCCCGUGCUGAACCUGGACACUCUGUGCGAGCGGCUCAUUCUCUGCAGUCUCACAUUCCAGGACUGUAUCUCCCACGAGACUCUGCCUGAAGCUAGGAAAAAGCCCACAGCUGGAAUGGUUUUGAACUUGGCUGGGUUCAUCAGUACAUUCUAGCUUUGGGGCUCAAUCUUCCCGGCGGCGGAAGAGUUUCCCACCUUGCGUUCGCAUGGUCGAGCGACGAAACGAGAGCUUCGCACGCUGGGCUUGGAUGUACCCGUAAAUGAAGACAUUCCUGUGAGUUUUCAAAACAAGUGUGAUCAGCACGUAUCCGCGAGCUUAAUGCAUUUUUUUCCCCCUCCCCCGAAUUCAGGAGCCAUUUAACAUCUGCUUUACUUUCGAAUGCGUGAACCCUACUAGAAAUGUCCACCGAAAAGCACGGGAAGUCCUGCGGGAACGCUUGUGUGACGAGGUAGACGGUGUUCAACGACUGUGCUUCUCUCUUCGCGAGGGUGGGAUCUGCACAGCGAGAGCAGAGGAACGUUGACGGUGCGCGAUGGCAGGGAGCUGUGAGCGCUCCCGCGCUUCUCGGCCCUUCUCGAUGAGUCGUAGGAGCCGCGGACGUUGCGCCGACCUCACCGUCGCCCUCUCCGUCGGGGGCCGCGUACGCGCAGCGACCCCGGAGCCGUGCCUCGCCUCGCCUCGCCUCGCCUCGCCGUUCGAGGCGUUCGUGUCGCUGCGGAGGAGGGACAGUGAGCAGUCUGUCAGAAACCGUGGCUCUCUGCACACGUUGGUCCCGCUUUCCUGUAGCGCCUGGGCUCGGUGUCGGCGAGAAGUAGACGCAGUACCGCAGGUUGACGCUGCCUUUUCUCUCUACAUAUUUACACGUUGUGAUUGCGGAGGAAAACAAGUGACGUGAAAGAAUAGACCUCCUCCCAGGUUAGUCAUGAAACACUAAGGGCCACAAAUGAAGCAUGACAACGCGAUUGACAUCUACCUUCUCUCUUCGUGUGUAAAUAUUGUAAAGAAUAACGUUGCCUAGUUUUUUAUAAAAAAAAAAAAAUCAGUGCAAAAAAAAAAAAUGCUCACAGCUUUGCAUAUGCCAUAUUAGCAGUAGGGACUGAAAAUAUAUUUUAAAAUGCAAAAUUUAAAAAAAAAAAAAAAAUCAAAUUUUUCUAAUUCAAAGGAUUAUCUUUUAAAUCUUAUUUAUUUUAAUAUGAUAGUGAUAAUUGUACAAAGCCCAACUAGAUUUUUAAAAUGUUUUUGAUUAGGUUUAGCUAAAAAAAAAAAAAAAAAAAACAAACAAAAAAAGAGGAGCACAGAUUCAGGAGAAAUAGAGCAAGGAGGGUUUUUUUAUGCGGGCAGAGUCUACCUCAGUGUGCUGUGAAACCCUUUGCAGAAGCCCAGUGUGUCUCAGUCGUAUGAAAUUCCGGAAAGUUCUGGUUGUCGUCGGUGCGCGAAACGCUGAUAUCGGUGCCAUCCCAACUCUUUUCACAUCAUUCAGACCAAGAAUGUGACGUUUUUCCUACGAUCUCACUUAGUUCUGCUCUUUGUUUUAAGGUAAAGGAGGUGAAAUGUACGGUUUUAUCGGUUCUUACAGUCGGGGUCAAUGAAGCAGCAGCGAAGGGAAAACGAGGUGUGUUCUUAAUUGUUUGCACGCAUCUAUUAGAGCAGUACGUCGUGUCCUCCACGACAAAUAUGAACGGCCAAACUUUGUGUGAAGUCACCCGAUGGUCGGUCGCUAAAGCGACACUGAGCUUUUAAAACCGUAUCUGUAGAAAACAGGGGCUCUGGCACCAGUUUAACUAUAAUAAAGUCAUAUGACGCACAAACCUGCCUAAAUUAAUAAUUGCAAAAGAAUCUCAACUCAUAUCUGAAGGCGUCUUAUCUGGCUAUGAAUUGCGCUUAGAAUAUAUGUCUACGCUAGAGGCGAAAAACGUUUUGCGAAAGGGGACGGCUUUCGGUAUCCUCUUAAUUGUGCUUAAUCUUCAUUAAAGCCGUGCAGGUUAAAAAGCUUUUUGGCCGGAGGAACUGCUUGACAAUCUGGGCUUUCGUCAAUUGGCAGAAUUACACGGAACGCGCGUUGCGGCCACGGCGACAACUUGGAUUUUUGUCCCGCUCGGGCGAUUCUUGGAGUUUUCGCGUUGGUCUCGCGCAGGCGAAACGUACGCAGAGAGGACCGUGCGCGAGGCCUCGUUCUUGAUGUAACGGGAAAACGGCGUGGGCCGCGAGCUGCCCGAAACCCUUGAGCGGCUCUCAAGCUUUUGCGUGGUCCCGGAAAACAUGUCUGGUCCCUGCUUAUAAAUGUUGGUCUCGAGGGCUGAAAGAGGAAGGUCCGCGGGGAUGGCGGUUCCCUUGAGAUGUCUUUUUGAACGCAACGCCGUGCCUUCGAAGCGUCGGCCGCCGUCCUUUCUCUGACGCGUACUCGGCAAGGAUGCGGAAAAAUUCGCCCCAACGUUGCCACGGAAGGUCUCGGACACCAUCCCUGCAGUACGUCGGUCUCUCUAGUCCUCCCGAAGCGAUGAGGAGCGGGUGACGUACGGCUCGGCUCAGCGGGAGUAGUCGCCCCGCGCGGCUGACCCUUCGGUCCACAGGGUGUUCUUGGCUUCUUUUUUCUUCCAUCCUUCUCUAUUGUGUUGUUUGAGUUUGACGAAAGAGCCAGGGUACGAGGGCCUGCACUCCAGCUCUAUUCCAUGGCUGGUCUGGUAACUGUUCCCAAAGAGAAGCGUAGCAGGACAAUCUCAUGUGCCAAAUUAGUAGAAAAAUAAAAGGGAAAAUGCAAAGGAUAGCAUGUGCUGGGAGGGGGGGAAGAAAAUCUUCACGGCAAACCAGUAAAGCCCUCGUAGGGAACAUUCAACCCCAAUUUUCCGUUUUUAAAUCGGAUUGGUUCUUGGUGCUGCAUUUCCAUGUGUGUAUUUCCCUGCCCGUUGCUGGAUGGAUAUACAAACAUACGAGUUAAGCAGUAGGAAGCACGUGAGCCCGUAGCGUCCUGUAGAUCAGCAUGACCUCCUCAACUCUACCAGCAUCAGACAGUCUUGGUCAAGAAGGACACGUGUGUGUGUGUGUGUGUGUGUGUGUGUGUGUGUGUGUGUGUGUGUGUGUGUGUGUGAGAGUGAGAGAAGGAAAGAGAAAAACGACACUGAUGUGUUUCCACGCUGUGCGCUUCAAACGGAGAGGUUUCCUUUUAUUUACAAAUAAAAGACCAAAUUUAGGCUGGCUUAUUGCUCUGCUUGACUUGAUAUUACCGCAUUGAGAUACGUGAAUGAAUUUCAAGGUGUAAGAAGCUAAACUCGUCUCUCCUUUGCUAAUCCCGGCUUGCUUCGUGCAACGAACCGGACCGUCCCCGGUCGGAUGGGCUUGCGAUGAGUUCCCUUUGAGAGAAAUCCCAAGUUUCCCCGGUGCGACGUCGCUUUGUUUCGGUCCCGACCCUCUCGCCGCAACUUCUACGGUUUAUUCAGCCCUUGAUUGCACAACGAAUGCUGUCCUCGGCGCGUGUAAAAUAAGGUUCGCGAUAUGUACGCCAAGAGCACGUGGGCCUGAACGCGGGAAGCGGUUUCUGAUCCGAAACCUCGGUGUGCUUUAGUUCAGACCGGUAUCGAGCGCUGGGCGACGGAGCGAGCUAGUAAUGCGGCAACGGUUGAGAUCGAGGCUUUGUAUGUAUUGUAUUGUUUUAAAGUAAAGUGAGAGUAUUGCGUUUAGAGAUGUUAAUUUCUAUUUUUGUAGCCAACGUAGGGAGGGCAAAUGAUUUUUUUUUUUUUUUUUUUUGUUUUCCUGAUU